rnacentral:misc_RNA from 1 species
AACGCACGAGACCUGCGGACCUGCGGAGGGAUCAUUACAGAGUUGCAAAACUCCCUAACCCUUGUGAACAUACCUGUACGUCGUUGCUUCGGCGGGUAGCCCCUUUACGGGGCCUCGACCUCCCAGCGAGGUUGCCCGCCGGAGGACCACACAAAACUCUUGAAUUAAUGGCUUCUCUGAGUAUUAAUCAAAUAAGUUAAAACUUUCAACAACGGAUCUCU